rnacentral:lncRNA from 1 species
UCCAUAAUCCAUACAUCAUAUAUAUAACAUCCUUAAUCCAUACAGCAUAUAACACAUCCAUAAUCCAUACAUCAUAUAUAUAACAUCCAUAAUCCAUGUCAUAAUAUUUGGCAUUACUACAUAUACAUACAUCAUAUAUAUAACAUCAUAUAUAUAUAACAUCAUAUAUAUAAUCCAUGUCAUAAUAUUUGGCAUUACUACAUAAAAUUUGGCAUUACGAUAAAUGUCUUCAUGUCAAUAUCGUAGUCCAAAGAACAUCUGUAUGACA